rnacentral:lncRNA from 1 species
CCACUGAAGUUCAACCCCAACAAGAUCAAAGUCGUAUACCUGAGGUGUACCUUGGAUAAAGUUGAUGCCAUGUCUGUGCUGGCCCCCAAGAUUGGCCCUCUGGGUAUGUCUGCAAAAAAGGUUGGUGAUGACACUGCCAAGGCAACCGGUGACUGGAAGGGUCUAAGGAUUAUAGUGAAACUGACCAUUCAGAACAGACCCAGAGUGAGGUGGUACCAUCUGCCACUGCCAGAAGGGUUUCUGCAAAGCCCUCAAGGAACCACAAAGAGAUGGAAAGAAACAGAAAAACAUUAAACACAAUGGAAAUAUCACUUUUGAUGAGAUUGUCAACAUUGCUUCACAGAUGUGGCACUGAUCUUUAGCCAGAGAACUCUCUGAAACCACUAAAGAGAUCCUGGGAACUGCCCAGUCUGUGAGCUGCAAUGCUGAUGGCUGCCACUUCAUGACAUC